rnacentral:rRNA from 1 species
GAUGAACGCUGGCGGCGUGCCUAACACAUGCAAGUCGAGCGGACAGACGAUGCUUUCGCUCUUCUUACGUUACCGACGGGUGAGUAAUUCAUAGGUGGAUUACCUCUCUAUAAGGCUUAGGUCACUUCAGGUAACCUUAUCUCUUACCGGUUCAUAUCUUGAACCUCAUUGUUCUAUGGAUUAAGCUCUUUUUGCUGUGACUUAUAGGUGUAUCCGCGUCGGAUUGGCUAGUUGGUAAGGUAACGGCUUACCAAGGCGACGAUGCGUAGCUGGCCUGAGAGGGUGAUCGGCCACACUGGAACUGAGACAAGGUCCAGACUCCUACGGGAGGCAGCAGUAGGGAAUAUUCAGCAAUGGGCGAAAGCCUGAAGGAGCAACGACGCGUGAGUGAUGAAGGUCUUCGGAUCGUAAAGCUCUGUGAGUAGGGAAGAACAAAAGUGUAAGAAGAAAUGCAUGUGUUGACGGUACCAAAAGAAAAAGCAACGGCUAACUACGUG